UCUGUGUUUGUGUGUGUAUAUAUGUGUAUAUAUGUAUAUAUGUAUAUGUAUACACACACACACACACACACACACACACACACACACAUAU
rnacentral:miRNA from 14 species